GUGUCAUCACUGAAGAACACAAGGAAUGCCAGAGAAGAUGGUAGCUGUGAGUGAGGGUGACAGAGGCUGGAGCAAGCAGAGGCACAGGCAUUUCCCAGCAUUUCCUCCACUGUCCAGCACGGUUCACACCAGGGGAGCUUUAGGUCCCACCAGCAACAGUAGCAGCAGCUCCCACUCAAGGGACUUCCCAGAAGCCAGUAAAGAGACCAGGAACCACCUCAAUCAGCAGGACAUCCUCACCACCCUCUUACAGAUGCCCCUUUGCCCAUCCUGAAUGCACAGCCUCCCUGGCUUUGCCCUUCAGCCCCUGCUUGGCUGUAUGCACUGUCUGUAUUGCACUGAGAAAGAAGGGACAGCAGGAGUGAAAUGGGGAGGGAGCUGGCUUGGCACCACCCCUCCCUGCCCUGCCCACUCGCCUAAGCUUGCUGCCCUCUGAGAGGGGAGAGGGGCGGCUGGGAGGGCUUUCCACCUGACGUCCCUGGUGGAACAGGUGCUUCUGGGCGGGCCAGCCUCUAAUUUGCACACCUGAAAUCGCGGAAUUGAGUUUAGAUAGAUUGAUUUUUUAAACACUUUUUUUUUGGGGGGGGGGAGUAGGUGUAGGGGAAUCAUUUAAUUUAAAUCAUAAAAAUUCCCCUACCCAAACCCUGACUCCUGUGUACAGAUGCUCUUUAGAGGGAAUCAGAAAAUGCCAAGCCUUUUUUCUCUUUGAAUGUGCUGUCUAUUUUUAUAACUGAACUUGUACAUAUGUAUAAAGAGAGACACAUCUUUCUUUUACUAACUGGAUAAAAAAUCUUAAAUAAAAUGGAGUGAGAUAAUUUUAUGUAAAUUAAA
rnacentral:lncRNA from 1 species